AGUCACUUUGCAGCUACAUUAAACUUCUGUCGGGGCGAUUUUGGAGUGUAGAGUGUAGCUCUGCUUGCCCCACUACAGGAAGGACGUGGGGACUUUGGAGAGGAUGCAGAUGAGGCUCACCAGAUGUUGCCUGGAUUAGAGGGUGCUUAAGGAGAGCUUGGACAAACUUGGAUUGUUUUCUCUGGAGCAUUGGAGGCUAAAGGGAAGCCUGAUACAGUGGAUACAAGCCCAGCCUGUAUGAUCUUUUCUUGUAAGACACCCCACCUAUUCCAGGUAUCUGCUUCUUCUGCCGAUGGGAGGGGAAGAAGAGAAAAGACAGAACAGACUGAGAAAAGAUUGAUGUGAAGUGGCUGGUUGCUCAGAAUCUCUCUAAUUAGCACAGAAGGCAUCCACAAGUUGGCAUGUGAACAACUUGCCUGGCACUUCACGGGAUGAAGAACAGUGCUCCACCAACAGCGCAAAUGCAGAGACGGGCUCCGUUUCUUGGAGGAUACAAAUAUAAGAUCGAAUUCAAGAGGAUGACUAAUCAUGGAAAUAAUGAUGGGUUAUCCUAUUUAUACCUGGAAAAGGAAAUACCUGAAAAAUUUACAAAAGACCCUUCUCUGGAUGUAUUCUUUGAAACACUCACUAUUUCGGCAGAGGUGAUCCAAAGGGAAGCUAGAGAAAGCCCCAUAGGUCUACAUGGUCACUCAUAUUGGCUGGAAUGUGCAGCAGAAACUCCAGUUUUCCCGUUUUUACCAACAUGAAGAAGAACUUGCCCUUGACGGCGGGUGCCUUAUGUGGGAAUUGAGAGCUAUUGUACCAUCCAAGCUGAGAGCCAAAGUGUUAGAGGAUACUGGCUCACCAGCAAUUGGACCAAGCUGCUGCAAGCAAGACUUGCAUUGUACCUGUACCUCAUCGAACUUGUGCA